rnacentral:rRNA from 1 species
UACGUAGGGGGCGAGCGUUGUCCGGAAUUAUUGGGCGUAAAGAGCGUGUAGGCGGUUUGUCAAGUUUCGUGUGAAAACUUCGGGCUCAACCCGAAGUCUGCACGGAAAACUGCCGGGCUUGAGUAUGGGAGAGGUGAGUGGAAUUUCCGGUGUAGCGGUGAAAUGCGUAGAUAUCGGAAGGAACACCUGUGGCGAAAGCGGCUCACUGGACCAUAACUGACGCUGAGGCGCGAAAGCUAGGGGAGCAAACAGG